rnacentral:rRNA from 1 species
AGUUAACGUUGGCGGCGUGCCUAACACAUGCAAGUCGAACGCGUCCUAAGGGCAACUUUAGGAUGAGUGGCGAACGGGUGAGUAUCACGUGGGUAAUCUUCCUUCAAGUGGGGAGUAAGCUCUCGAAAGGGAGUCUAAUACCGCAUGACAUUCCGGGACACAAGUCCCGUAAUCAAAGCCGCAAGGCGCUUGAAGAUGAGCCUGCGUCCUAUUAGCUAGUUGGUGGGGUAACGGCCUACCAAGGCUUAGAUGGGUAGCCGGCCUGAGAGGGUGAACGGCCACACUGGGACUGAGACACGGCCCAGACUCCUACGGGAGGCAGCAGUGAGGAAUUUUGCGCAAUGGGGGAAACCCUGACGCAGCGACGCCGCGUGGAGGAUGAAGGCCUUCGGGUCGUAAACUCCUGUCAGAGGUGAAGAAUACCCGCAAGGGUUUGACGGUAACCUCAGAGGAAGCCCCGGCUAACUACGUG